rnacentral:antisense_RNA from 1 species
GAGUUACCUUUCAUGGAAGGGUAAGCAGGAAGCAACUACAAGAUCAUCAUUUCAAAACAAUAUGAAAGCAGAAUGGGAAAUGCCACGGCAUGCUCCCUCUUUUCAGGUCUCCCAGGGUUUGGAUUUUCCUUGACAGAGCAUAGGGGAAGUGCUGAGUCCUCAGGCCCAUACCCAGAUGAAGAAGCACAGGCAUGAUCAAAGCUACAACUAUUAUAUCCAUCCGGGAUUUUCUUUUGUGAAUGAAAAGAAGAAAAGACAUCAAUAAUGUGACCUUGGACUUACAGGCAAUAUGGACACUUUGGGGAAGUUAUGAAGCGUCUCCCAUUCCCGCUUGAGGUACUCAAUAGAGCCCACAAACACAAUGUGCUUGAGCUCAUGGUAAUGAAAGUUGCUGGCACGGAGCGGCAUCACCAGGUUCCGGAGGCCGAUCAGGGCUGAGCUGACAUCGCCAAAGAUGCAGACCACGACAUGGCCACUCAGGACGGUCAUGGCAGCUUCACUU